rnacentral:misc_RNA from 1 species
GUGAAUCAUCGAAUUUUUGAACGCAAAUUGCACUCUCUUCGGAGAGUAUGCCUGCUUGAGGGACAGCCUAAAAAAAAUCGACGUAGUCGCUGUUUCGCGGUUACAUUCGUCGGGAAGUGGGGCAUCUUUAACCCUUUGGGUUUUUUAGCGGCUUAAAAUCCUCUUUUCGAAUUCCACAACCGUUUUAAGAUUUUACUUCUUACACGU